rnacentral:sRNA from 2 species
AAAGAAGGUUUCUAGGGUUCCGAUAUAUAAAAAUAUAUGACUGGUCCGAGAGAAACAGGCUGAAACCGUGGGGAAUUUGUUUACAAAAAUCACCCUGAUACACUUUAGCUACACGGAGGGAGAAAAGCCCGGGAGAA